CAAUAAGCGGAGGAAAAGAAACUAACAAGGMUUCCCUUAGUAACUGCGAGUGAAGAGGGAAGAGCUCAAAUUUAAAAUCUGGCAGUGCUUUGCUGUCCGAGUUGUAAUCUAGAGAAGUGCUACCCGUGCUGGACCAUGUACAAGUCUCCUGGAAUGGAGCGUCACAGAGGGUGAGAAUCCCGUCUUUGACAUGGACUGCCAGUGCAUUUGUGGUGUGCUCUCAAAGAGUCGAGUUGUUUGGGAAUGCAGCUCUAAAUGGGUGGUAAACUCCAUCUAAAGCUAAAUAUUGGCGAGAGACCGAUAGCGAACAAGUACCGUGAGGGAAAGAUGAAAAGAACUUUGGAAAGAGAGUUAAACAGUAUGUGAAAUUGUUGAAAGGGAAACGCUUAAAGUCAGUCGUGUCGGCCAGGGAUCAACUCAGUUUUUUCUGCUGGGUGUACUUCCUGAUCUGAUGGGCCAACAUCAGUUUUGACUGCUGGAGAAGGAUAGAGGGAAUGUGGCACCUUUGGGUGUGUUAUAGCUCUCUGUCAGAUGCAGUGGUUGGGACUGAGGAAAGCAGCAUGCCGAAAGGCCGGGUCAGUUUGACCACGUUCAUGCUGAGGAUGUUGGCAUAAUGGCUUUAAUCGACCCGUCUUG
rnacentral:rRNA from 1 species